rnacentral:rRNA from 1 species
CCCUUAGAUGUUCUGGGCCGCACGCGCGCUACACUGAACAGUUCAACAAGUCUUAACCUUGGCCGAUAGGUCUGGGUAAUCUUUGAACGCUGUUCGUGAUUGGGAUAGACCUUUGCAAUUAUGGGUCUUCAACGAGGAAUUCCUAGUAAACGCAAGUCAUCAGCUUGCAUUGAUUACGUCCCUGUCCUUUGUACACACCGCCCGUCGCACCUACCGAUUGAAUGGUCCGGUGAAAUCUCGGGACGGCGGCUUGGUCGCUUGCGUCCGACUGCUGAAACUUGAUUAAACCAUAUCAUUUAGAGGAAGGUGAAGUCGUAACA